AUGCAAGAAGUCUGCGAAAAUUUCAGAGUAGCUGUAGAGAUGGGAAGAACGGACAUUGUCAAAUCUACAUUGGAUGCAUGUCCUCUUGAUUGUCCUGAUGAAACUUCUGACAAGCCAACUAAGAGGAAACUUCUGAAUGAACCCUUCACAGAAGUUGGAACUUAUCUAGCUCUUGCAACAAAGUUGAAUCACUGCGAUGUUGUGCGAGCUUUAUUAUCUCAGGGAGCCGACCCAAGUGUAAAAAAUGAACAGGGUUUGAAUAGUUUUGAUUAUGCUAAAUCAGAAGAAAUGGUACAAGUAUACAUCAAAGAGCUACUUCAAGCCACUGGCAACUGUUUAUUAGAUCGAAUGAUGUGUGUUCUUAAUGCCGGCGUGAGUCCAAACUGUUGGGACACUCACAGUGAGCAAAACACCCCACUCCACUGGGCAGCCUGCUAUGGUAGCAAGGCCACAGUCGCUUGUCUUAUAGGUACCAAGUUAUUUCACUCUAUUGAUUCUCUAAGUGCACUCAUGGUUGAGAUUAUUUUUUCCCCGUGUGUAUUCAAUUUCAUUCAACCACAGAUUGCAACUUUUUCCUGUCUAGUCUCAUGUAGUGAAUUAAAAGUAAAAAUGUGUGUAUAUUUUUGAAUUAAUGUAGCUGAGGCUCUUAGUUUCUUAACAUAUUAUGUUGAGAAAACUUACAGGAAAGCAUCAAGAUGGGAGAUUGGUUGCUGUGUCAAAGCAAUACGCUUUGCUGGUAUCAACUAUUGAUGGUCGUUUAGCCUUGUAGCGAAGCUGUUACAUGGCAGAUUCACUAUUUCUAUUACUAGCUUAAUUUUCUCUUUUAAGUGGAGCACACACUUAACACUUUUUAAGCUCAUCUCGAUUUCAGAUGCGGGCGCUAAUGUGAACUCAAUGAAUGCUUAUGGCACAACCCCACUCCAUGAUGCAGUAAAUCGUGGCGAUAGGGAAAUUGUUGAAGAGCUUCUUAAGCACGGUGCAGAUCCUUUGAAGCUAGAUAAGUCUGCCACCCCAAAAUCGCCUCUCGAUAUGGCCACAGCAAGGUCUCCGCACUUACUGCCAUUGUUUCAAAAAUAUGCUGCAGGUGUGUUGUAUUUUGUUUUUAUCUUGUUUAUCAAUGGAAAAAUCAGGUGUUUGCAGGUCUGGUAAACAGGGAGGGAUAGCAGGGAAUUGUCAGGGAGUUUCAGCAGAUCAGGGAAAUUAGGGAGCAGUCAAGGAAUUCUCUGCAGAAUUCUGGUAGUUUGAAUAUUUGUGAAGUGUGAAAGAACAUCAGUACUACGCAUACAGUCAAACGCCACAGUCUGGUUCAGGGCUUGAUGCAUUUGAGUUACACUUGAGAUAGUGCUCAGCUCAGAGGCGUUUAUUUUGCCAAGGAAUUGCAAUUUUAGUCAAUGGGGCAGUGGCAAGGAAUUUUUGCUGGCAUGUCUAAUUUGUCUCUUGUGAAAUCUCUUGAAAACCCAAAAAUUUCAUUAAAAAGUUCAAAAAAUCAAUUUUAAGGUGAAGUAGCUAAUCAAAAGUCCACAGUGGAGUUGUCUUAGCAAGGUGAUGCUUGAAGAUUAGUUAAGCCACACAGAAAAUGCCGUUUCCCCUGCCUGGCUAUGUCAUCAGAGUCAGCCAAAUAUAUCAUUUCAAAUGGGUCCUUUUUUUGACAUUUUAAAAAGGGGGUUCUUUUGCGAUGUAGGGUUAAAAGAAACCAAAAAAAAUUCCGGAAGCUUAGUUCACUCCUUGCUCCUAGAAAAAGCAUUUAAAAAAAGUAAAAAUGAUUGCCACUGGCCCAUGGAAUGAUGAACACCCGAAGAAAAAGGUUCACACGUAUCUGUCUUCUGUCAUUGCCAGUGAAAUUAAUGCUGACAAUUUUUCAUGAUCAGUUCGGUGCGUAUAAAAUUGUCGAUGUGAAUAGUCAUAAUAUCAUGAUUACUUUGGUUAGGGGAAACCUGGAAAAGUCGGGAAUUUUUUUCCUGCUGAGUCUGCAGACACCCUGGACUUGGUUUGCAUGUUCCAAUUCUUGAGGAUAGCGUAACGUGAAAGAAGUUAAUCAGUAUGAGAGUUAAAUACCCCUAAUUGCCUCUCAUUUUAAAUGAAGUCCUGAGUGGUUUUUGCAAGUGUCAUCCAUUUCUGCCUCUAAACGCUCCCUUCAUACCUGUUCCUAAUUUUACAUGAAUCUCAAUUUAACAUAUGUCACCUGUCCUAAAUGGAAAAUUUGCACGCAAAUUUUUUUAUUGCUUCAUCUGAAAGUGCUUAAAGAGCUGAUUCCACAGUAUUUUUUAUAAUUUUUUUCUGACAUGGAAAAUGCUUGAAAAAUAGAUUUAAAGGCUAGAAAAAGCACCGCCUAGUGACGUCACCUGGCGGCAUUUCCCAUUUAAACACAUGUAUUUUAGCAGAAUCGAUUAUUUUGUCAUAUCUCCUCUAAUAAUUGCUCAAUUUAUGAAUGAAGGGUACCUACGUGUUCAGUUCACUCAGUAGAUUCCACUUAAACACGAAAUUUAUCGAAUUUCAGACCCUUGCAAAUUCUCCAUUAUUGCAUCUAAGUCUUUUUCUAAAACUUCCAAUCCAGACAAGUUUCCUCCGUUUCUGUGCACCCUGUCAAUAAUUGAAUUACUGAAAGUUUGCCUCUCAGCAAGCACAUCUGAAUCAAAAACAGUUCUUCAAUAAAGGAGGGAGAGAUGAGCUUCACUUUUUAUUUAACCUUGUCUUCUUCACGAUUUUCUGUCUAGAUUUAUCACCAAGUCAGCCAAAACUGUCUAACGGUGACAGCAUAGAGAAAUUAAUGCGUAGUGCCUCAUUAGACUCUUAUCCUCUGGAUAGUCUUGGAAGUAGACAGAAUGGCGAUGAGUGCAGCUCACCAGUCAGUGGCCUUUUGUUACCGCAGUUUGGUCAAGUGAGUAAUUUCCUUCUGUACUUCUUUUCUCCCCAGCCUGGAUAGUGAUAUUAAUUACUGCAUUUUUAUAUUAUCAGUGUUUCUAAGUCAGUUUUAGUCUUUGGUUGAAAGAGGAAUUUCUAAGCCCAUCUAGUUUCAAAAUUUGUUUUUUUGUUUUGUUUUUUAAAUUUUUAUAGCACUCAUUUAGACUCCCUUGUGUGUUGCAAUAUUUUUUUUAUUUGGUUUGUUAUUUCAGGAAAUUACUCUACUGUUAUUU
rnacentral:lncRNA from 1 species